GAAGCCAGUCGAAGAUACCAGCUGGCUGCAACUGUUUAUUAAAAACACAGCACUGUGCAAACACGAAAGUGGACGUAUACGGUGUGACGCCUGCCCGGUGCUGGAAGGUUAAUUGAUGGGGUUAUCCGUAAGGAGAAGCUCUUGAUCGAAGCCCCAGUAAACGGCGGCCGUAACUAUAACGGUCCUAAGGUAGCGAAAUUCCUUGUCGGGUAAGUUCCGACCUGCACGAAUGGCGUAAUGAUGGCCAGGCUGUCUCCACCCGAGACUCAGUGAAAUUGAAAUCGCUGUGAAGAUGCAGUGUACCCGCGGCAAGACGGAAAGACCCCGUGAACCUUUACUAUAGCUUGACACUGAACAUUGAGCCUUGAUGUGUAGGAUAGGUGGGAGGCUUUGAAGCGUGGACGCUAGUCUGCGUGGAGCCAACCUUGAAAUACCACCCUUUAAUGUUUGAUGUUCUAACGUAGACCCGUAAUCCGGGUUGCGGACAGUGUCUGGUGGGUAGUUUGACUGGGGCGGUCUCCUCCCAAAGAGUAACGGAGGAGCACGAAGGUUAGCUAAUCACGGUCGGACAUCGUGAGGUUAGUGCAAAGGCAUAAGCUAGCUUGACUGCGAGAGUGACAGUUCGAGCAGGUGCGAAAGCAGGUCUUAGUGAUCCGGUGGUUCUGAAUGGAAGGGCCAUCGCUCAACGGAUAAAAGGUACUCCGGGGAUAACAGGCUGAUACCGCCCAAGAGUUCAUAUCGACGGCGGUGUUUGGCACCUCGAUGUCGGCUCAUCACAUCCUGGGGCUGAAGUAGGUCCCAAGGGUACGGCUGUUCGCCGUUUAAAGUGGUACGCGAGCUGGGUUUAGAACGUCGUGAGACAGUUCGGUCCCUAUCUGCCGUGGGCGUUGGAGAAUUGAGGGGGGUUGCUCCUAGUACGAGAGGACCGGAGUGAACGCACCACUGGUGUUCGGGUUGUCAUGCCAAUGGCAUUGCCCGGUAGCUAAGUGCGGAAAAGAUAAGUGCUGAAAGCAUCUAAGCACGAAACUUGCCCCGAGAUGAGUUCUCCCUGAC
rnacentral:rRNA from 1 species